GUCUGUAUAGUUUUUUUGAUUUGCGCCAUUUCCUCUCUGCAGCCCUGAGUUUAGAGCGAUGUUCACGGAGAACAUCGGACAGCCAGGGGGCAG